GACAGAGGGUGCAAACGUUGCUCGGAAUUACUGGGCGUAAAGCGCGUGUAGGCUGACCGGAAAGUCGGGCGUGAAAUCCCUGGGCUCAACCCAGGAACUGCACAGGAAACUGCUUGACUUGAGUUCGGGAGAGGGAAGCGGAAUUCCGGGUGUAGCGGUGAAAUGCGUAGAUAUCCGGAGGAACACCGGUGGCGAAGGCGGCUUCCUGGACCGAUCACUGACGCUGAGGCGCGAAAGCUAGGGGAGCAAACGGG
rnacentral:rRNA from 1 species